GGUUAAGUUAGAAAGGGCGCACGGUGGAUGCCUUGGCACUAGGAGCCGAAGAAGGACGGGACUAACACCGAUAUGCUUUGGGGAGCUGUACGUAAGCGUUGAUCCAGAGAUUUCCGAAUGGGGGAACCCACUAUCUUUAGUCGGAUAGUAUCCUUACGUGAAUACAUAGCGUGAGGAAGGCAGACCCAGGGAACUGAAACAUCUAAGUACCUGGAGGAAGAGAAAGAAAAAUCGAUUUCCUGAGUAGCGGCGAGCGAAACGGAAAGAGCCCAAACCAAGAAGCUUGCUUCUUGGGGUUGUAGGACACUCUAUACGGAGUUACAAAAGAAAGUUAUAAAUGAAGCGGUCUGGAAAGGCCCGCCAAAGACGGUAACAGCCCGGUAGUUGAAAUGGCUUUCCCUCCAGAGUGGAUCCUGAGUACGGCGGAACACGUGAAAUUCCGUCGGAAUCCGGGAGGACCAUCUCCCAAGGCUAAAUACUCCCUAGUGACCGAUAGUGAACCAGUACCGUGAGGGAAAGGUGAAAAGCACCCCGGAAGGGGAGUGAAACAGUUCCUGAAACCGUGUGCCUACAAGUAGUUAGAGCCCGUUAAUGGGUGAUAGCGUGCCUUUUGUAGAAUGAACCGGCGAGUUACGAUUUGUUGCAAGGUUAAGCGGAAAAAGCGGAGCCGUAGCGAAAGCGAGUCUGAAUAGGGCGCAUAAGUAACAGGUCGUAGACCCGAAACCAGGUGAUCUACCCAUGUCCAGGAUGAAGGUAAGGUAAUACUUACUGGAGGUCCGAACCCACGCACGUUGAAAAGUGCGGGGAUGAGGUGUGGGUAGCGGAGAAAUUCCAAUCGAACUUGGAGAUAGCUGGUUCUCUCCGAAAUAGCUUUAGGGCUAGCCUCGAGGUAAAGAGUCAUGGAGGUAGAGCACUGUUUGGACUAGGGGCCCUUCUCGGGUUACCGAAUUCAGAUAAACUCCGAAUGCCAUGUACUUAUACUCGGGAGUCAGACUGCGAGUGAUAAGAUCCGUAGUCGAAAGGGAAACAGCCCAGACCACCAGUUAAGGUCCCCAAAUAUAUGUUAAGUGGAAAAGGAUGUGGGGUUGCUUAGACAACCAGGAUGUUGGCUUAGAAGCAGCCACCAUUGAAAGAGUGCGUAAUAGCUCACUGGUCGAGUGACCCCGCGCCGAAAAUGUACCGGGGCUAAACAUAUUACCGAAACUGUGGAUGAACCUCUUUAGAGGUUCGUGGUAGGAGAGCGUUCUAAGGGCGGUGAAGUCAGACCGGAAGGACUGGUGGAGCGCUUAGAAGUGAGAAUGCCGGUAUGAGUAGCGAAAGAAGGGUGAGAAUCCCUUCCACCGAAUAUCUAAGGUUUCCUGAGGAAGGCUCGUCCGCUCAGGGUUAGUCGGGACCUAAGCCGAGGCCGAUAGGCGUAGGCGAUGGACAACAGGUAGAGAUUCCUGUACCAGUGCUAAUUGUUUAACCGAUGGGGUGACACAGAAGGAUAGGGAAUCGCACGAAUGGAAAUGUGCGUCCAAGCAGUGAGUGUGAGAAGUAGGCAAAUCCGCUUCUCGCGAAGCAUGAGCUGUGAUGGGGAAGGAAAUUAAGUACGGAAGUUCCUGAUUUCACGCUGUCAAGAAAAGCCUCUAGGAAGAGUAGUACUGCCCGUACCGCAAACCGACACAGGUAGAUGAGGAGAGAAUCCUAAGGUGAGCGAGAGAACUCUCGUUAAGGAACUCGGCAAAAUGACCCCGUAACUUCGGGAGAAGGGGUGCUCUAUUAGGGUGCAAGCCCGAGAGAGCCGCAGUGAAUAGGCCCAGGCGACUGUUUAGCAAAAACACAGGUCUCUGCAAAACCGUAAGGUGACGUAUAGGGGCUGACGCCUGCCCGGUGCUGGAAGGUUAAGAGGAGUGCUUAGCUUCGGCGAAGGUACGAAUUGAAGCCCCAGUAAACGGCGGCCGUAACUAUAACGGUCCUAAGGUAGCGAAAUUCCUUGUCGGGUAAGUUCCGACCCGCACGAAAGGCGCAACGAUCUGGGCACUGUCUCAACGAGAGACUCGGUGAAAUUAUAGUACCUGUGAAGAUGCAGGUUACCCGCGACAGGACGGAAAGACCCCGUGGAGCUUUACUGCAACCUGAUAUGGAAUGUUUGUACCGCUUGUACAGGAUAGGUAGGAGCCGAAGAGACGUGUGCGCUAGCAUACGAGGAGGCAAUGGUGGGAUACUACCCUGGCUGUAUGACCAUUCUAACCCGCCACGCUUAGCGCGUGGGGAGACAGUGUCAGGUGGGCAGUUUGACUGGGGCGGUCGCCUCCUAAAGAGUAACGGAGGCGCCCAAAGGUUCCCUCAGAAUGGAUGGAAAUCAUUCGCAGAGUGUAAAGGCACAAGGGAGCUUGACUG
rnacentral:rRNA from 1 species